rnacentral:rRNA from 1 species
UACGUAGGGGGCCAGCGUUGCUCGGAAUUACUGGGCGUAAAGGGUUCGUAGGCGGUGUGGCAAGUCGGAAGUGAAAUCUCCAGGCUCAACUUGGAGGCUGCUCCCGAAACUGCCAUGCUAGAGUGCGGGAGAGGCCAGUGGAAUUGCAGGUGUAGCGGUGAAAUGCGUAGAUAUCGAGAGGAACACCUGCGGCGAAGGCGGGUUGCUGGGCCGACACUGACGCUGAGGCGCGAAAGCCAGGGGAGCGAACGGG